AUCGCUUCUCGGCCUUUUGGCUCAGAUCAAGUGUAGUAUCGUUCUUCAGUUUAAUAUCUGAUUCCGCCCAUCGGGGGACUACAUAUUAAAUGGAUUUUUCGAACAGGGAGUCGGAAAUGGGGCUUGCUCCGUCCGCUCCACGCAUCGACCCGGUAUUGCAGUACCUCCACCUGGUAACGUGCAACACUU
rnacentral:snRNA from 1 species